AUACGGAGGAUCCGAGCGUUAUCCGGAUUUACUGGGCGUAAAGGGCGUGUAGGCGGUCUUGCAAGUCAGAAGUGAAAUUCCUGAGCUCAACUCGGGCGCUGCUUCUGAAACUGCAGGACUUGAGUGCUGGAGGGGAUAGCGGAAUUCCUGGUGUAGCGGUGAAAUGCGCAGAUAUCAGGAGGAACACCGGUGGCGAAGGCGCUUUUCUGGACUGUGGCUGACUCUCAGAUGCGAAAGCCAGGGUAGCGAACGGGCUUAGAUACCCCGGUAGUCCUGGCCGUAAACGAUGGGUACUAGGUGUGGGAGGUAUCGACUCCUUCCGUGCCGGAGUUAACGCAAUAAGUACCCCGCCUGGGGAGUACGGCCGCAAGGCUUAAACUCAAAUGAAUUGACGGGG
rnacentral:rRNA from 1 species